GGGGGCAUAGCUCAGUGAUAGAGCAUUUGAUUGCAGAUCAAGAGGUUCCCUGGUUCACAUCUAGCUGCUCCUC
rnacentral:tRNA from 1 species